rnacentral:rRNA from 1 species
UGCUACAAUGGGUAGUACAGAGGGUUGCCAAGCCGUAAGGUGGAGCUAAUCCCUUAAAGCUACUCUCAGUUCGGAUUGUAGGCUGAAACUCGCCUACAUGAAGCUGGAGUUACUAGUAAUCGCAGAUCAGAAUGCUGCGGUGAAUGCGUUCCCGGGUCUUGUACACACCGCCCGUCACACCACGGGAGUUGGAGACGCCCGAAGCCGA